GAUGAACGCUGGCGGCGUGCCUAAUACAUGCAAGUCGAGCGAAUGGAUUAAGAGCUUGCUCUUAUGAAGUUAGCGGCGGACGGGUGAGUAACACGUGGGUAACCUGCCCAUAAGACUGGGAUAACUCCGGGAAACCGGGGCUAAUACCGGAUAACAUUUUGAACCGCAUGGUUCGAAAUUGAAAGGCGGCUUCGGCUGUCACUUAUGGAUGGACCCGCGUCGCAUUAGCUAGUUGGUGAGGUAACGGCCCACAAAGGCAACGAUGCGUGGCCGACCUGGGAGGGUGAUCGGCCACACUGGGACUGAGACACGGCCCAGACUCCUACGGGAGGCAGCAGUAGGGAAUCUUCCGCAAUGGACGAAAGUCUGACGGAGCAACGCCGCGUGAGUGAUGAAGGCUUUCGGGUCGUAAAACUCUGUUGUUAGGGAAGAACAAGUGCUAGUUGAAUAAGCUGACACCUUGACGGUACCUAACCAGAAAGCCACGGCUAACUACGUGCCAGCCGCCGCCGUAA
rnacentral:rRNA from 1 species